AACGUAGGGGGACAAGCGUUAUCCGGAUUUACUGGGCGUAAAGCGCCCCGUAGGCGGCCUGACAAGUUGGACGUGAAAGCUCCUGGCUUAACUGGGAGAGGCCGUUCAAAACUGUCAAGCUAGAGUCUGGAAGAGGAGAGCGGAAUUCCCGGUGUAGUGGUGGAAUGCGUAGAGAUCGGGAGGAACACCAGUGGCGAAAGCGGCUCUCUGGUCCAAAACUGACGCUGAGGGGCGAAAGCGUGGGGAGCGAACGGG
rnacentral:rRNA from 1 species